GUGAGGAAUAUUGGACAAUGGGCGCAAGCCUGAUCCAGCCAUGCCGCGUGCAGGAAGAAGCAUCUAUGGUGUGUAAACUGCUUUUGUACGGGAAGAAACACUCCUUCGUGAAGGAGCUUGACGGUACCGUAAGAAUAAGGAUCGGCUAACUCCGUGCCAGCAGCCGCGGUAAUACGGAGGAUCCAAGGGUUAUCCGGCAUCAUUGGGUUUAAAGGGUCCGUAGGCGGUUUGGUAAGUAAGUGGUGAAAGCCCGCAGCUCAACUGUGGAACGGCCAUUGAUACUGCCAGACUUGAAUUACAAGGAAGUAACUAGAAUAUGUAGUGUAGCGGUGAAAUGCUUAGAUAUUACAUGGAAUACCAAUUGCGAAGGCAGGUUACUACUUGUGGAUUGACGCUGAUGGACGAAAGCGUGGGGAGCGAACAGGAUUAGAUACCCUAGUAGUCC
rnacentral:rRNA from 1 species